AGCGAACGCUGGCGGCAGGCUUAACACAUGCAAGUCGAGCGGGCCCUUCGGGGUCAGCGGCAGACGGGUGAGUAACGCGUGGGAAUGUACCCUUUGGUUCGGAAUAACUCAGGGAAACUUGAGCUAAUACCGGAUACGCCCUUUUUGGGGAGAGGCUUGCUGCCGAAGGAUCGGCCCGCGUCUGAUUAGCUUGUUGGUGAGGUUAUGGCUCACCAAGGCGACGAUCAGUAGCUGGUCUGAGAGGAUGAUCAGCCACACUGGGACGGAGACACGGCCCAGGCUCCUACGGGAGGCAGCAGUGGGGAAUAUUGGACAAUGGGGGCAACCUUGAUCCAGCCAUGCCGCGUGAGUGAUGACGGCCUUAGGGUUGUAAAGCUCUUUUCUCCGGGACGAUAAUGACGGUACCGGAGGAAUAAGCCCCGGCUAACUUCGUGCCAGCCGCCGCGGUAA
rnacentral:rRNA from 1 species